rnacentral:sRNA from 1 species
GGCAAUUCAAUCUAAAACCACACAUGGUCCGACACGGCUGGCGGGGUGCCCCUGGAGGUUGUCAGCUGCGGGUCCAUGGAGGCUCAAC